AGGAAGUGAGUGGGUCACGGGUGCUGAUCUUGGAGACAGUGUCUUGUCCCUGGUGUCUUCACCUAUAGAUCUCUCCUUCGAACCGUUUUGGGACAGCCACACCCUUCCGCCAUGAUGUUCCUGUCUGGCCACAGCCCUGAACACAACAGAGUCCAUUGACUAUGGACUGAAGCAUCUGAAACUGUGCUGUGCUGCCUCCUGCUGCCCUUCUGAACCGAGAUAAUCCAGUGACAACUUUUGGCCUUGGCUCGUCCCUGUUACUUAGAAACAUGGUCAGAGGGGACCUUGGCCCAGCUGCAGGCUUCUACCCUCCAGGAAGGACAUCGCUCCCCACAACCGAUGACUUUGAAGUGGUACCGAGGCUUUGGCUACAGCAAGAGUUCAUUUGUGCCAGAGUGGCUGCAUCGGCCCGAGGAUAAUCCAAUCCAGGAAGAUGUCUGUCACCGGCUCUGCUCUCCUGCCAGGGCUGCCAGCCUGUGGGUUCCACUGUGGGGCCAGAGUGACAACAAGAGGACCCUUGAAGAGAUCGGCGCCAAGGGCAGUGGAGGCUGCUGUGUGGUCCCCUGGGAGGACU